AUUGAACGCUGGCGGCAUGCUUUACACAUGCAAGUCGAACGGUAACAGGGAGCUUGCUCCGCUGACGAGUGGCGAACGGGUGAGUAAUGCGUCGGAACGUGCCGAGUAGUGGGGGAUAACGCAGCGAAAGUUGUGCUAAUACCGCAUACGUACUGAGGUAGAAAGUGGGGGACCUUCGGGCCUCACGCUAUUCGAGCGGCCGACGUCUGAUUAGCUAGUAGGUGAGGUAAAGGCUCACCUAGGCGACGAUCAGUAGCGGGUCUGAGAGGAUGAUCCGCCACACUGGGACUGAGACACGGCCCAGGCGCCUGCGGGAGGCAGCAGUGGGGAAUUUUGGACAAUGGGCGAAAGCCUGAUCCAGCCAUGCCGCGUGUCUGAAGAAGGCCUUCGGGUUGUAAAGGACUUUUGUCGGGGAGGAAAUCCCCAGCGCUAAUACCGCUGGGGGAUGACAGUACCUGAAGAAUAAGCACCGGCUAACUACGUGCCAGCAGCCGCCGUAAAAC
rnacentral:rRNA from 1 species